CCCACUUUAAUUAAAAAUAAAAAAAAACCCAAAAAAUGGGGGAAAACCCAAAGAACAUAUGCCUGGAAAAUAGAAAAUAUCUGAGAGAAAUAGUUCCUCAGGAUUCUAAUACAAAAGCAAAAAGUGUAAAAAGUUGUCGAGUUUGAAAAACACACGUGCAAGAAUGUCGGAGUCCAACGAGUAAAGCUAAAAGACAGAAGUAUUAGGCUUAUAAUAUCCAAUUGGUCCAAAGUUCGGAAUUUGAGACAUGGACACCAACCUCGCCAAAAUUGUCACAAAUCUUUAGAUUUACUGGCCACAUUAAUGGAACGUGUGAAUGUGAUUAGGCACAUGCAUAUCUUACACUCAAAUCAAAAUUAUCUGAUGCCAACAAGAUGUACACUGCUUCAAGUAGUGGACUUGAACACGAUGCUUGAUCCACCAUUUUCUGGACACUACUAGGAACUGAGCUGGCUGCCAAUUGCUAGACCCUCCAUGGACGAUCAUGAGAAAGACGGAUAUGGAGUUUCGAACAAAAUAAGCUGGGAUUAUCUUGCAAAACUUUGGGAGGAUGGCAAAUGCUCGAACUUUGUUUAAAACUGGCUGCACAUGCCAACAAGUGAGCUGACCACAUGAGAUUUCAAAAGUUUAGGCGGUUUUCCUCUUUUGGAUGGGGAAGGCCUCUUUGGUUCAUAUCAGCCCGCUUAAGAUACCAGAAUCUCAUUACUUCUAUGCACCGACAGUCGGGUGAUGAAAUUGAGGCCUCGAUCAACAAGUUAAUAUUGAUAGUUUAUAAUUAGCAUUUAGCUCAUAUCAUGCUAUAACCCAUCUCUUUUUUAAAUUCCUCCUGGUUUAUCAAUCUUCUCAACUUUUCAACCUCAUCCCAUCUAGCCUGUUCUGCAUAUAAGUUGGAGAGACUCACAUAAUAGCUGGUAUUUUUAGGAUCUGAAUUAAUGAUCUGUUUGGCAAUAGAUUCUGAAAUGUCAACAGAUCCAUGAGCUUUUCUGCUGCCAGCAAGAAGAGCUCCCCAUAUGCGUUUAUCAGGCUUAACGGGCAUAUCAUUCACAAAUUCAAGAGCCUCUUCUAUAUUGCCUUGACGGCUAAGCAUGUCAACCAUGCAAGCAUAAUGUGCAAGUUUUGGGGUAAUACCAUAUAUCUCUUCCAUAGCAUUAAACCAGUUCCAUCCCUCAUAUUCAAGGCCACAGUGACUGCACGCAGACAGAACAGAUAUAAAAACAACAUCGUUAGGCUCAAUCCCGCAAGACAACAUGUUUGCAAAACACUGAAGAACCUCAUCACCACAGCCAUUAAUCCCGUAGCCGUUGAUCAUUGAACUCCAACAUAUAAAAUCUUUUAAGUGAUUUUCAUCAAAAAUAGCCUUCCCUUGCCUCACUCUUCCAAAUUUGCAGUACAUAUCAAUCAAUGCCGAAGUCAAAAAUGUAUUAGACAAGUACCCAGCUUUAGUUAAGUGUGCAUGUAUACUUUCUCCAAUCUCUUGAGCAGCCAUUAAAGAACAAGCUCGUAAUAAACUAACAUAAAUGGCCUCAUUAGGCUUUUGGUCAGCCAAUUGCAUCUGUCUCGAUGUAUCAAAAGCAUCACCAGCGAGUCUACCUUGAACAUAUGCCGCUAUCAUCACACUCCAGGCAACAACAUCUUUCUGGUUGAGCUGAUCAAACAACGCCCUAGCUGAUCCAACACUCCCAAAGCUGGCAUAAACUUGAAGAAGUGCAGUCACCAUGGAAACAGAUGCAAUAUAACCCAUUUUCAAUACAAGGCCAUGAAGUCCUUGCCCAAUAAGAUGAUCAUCCAAUUGUGAAGAUGCUCCAAUCACUUUUCGCAUAAUACAUCCAUCCAUUUCAGAGGUAUAAGAUCGCAUUUUGGAGAAGACAAACAAUGCUUUUUCCGGACACUCAUUUUCCAGGCACGCGUGAAUUAUACUCCUCCAUGAGAUAAUAUCUUUCUUAAGCAUCCUAUUAAAAAUCAGAAAUGAUGCCUUCAAAUUCCCACACUUGGCAUACAUGUCCACAAGCGAAUUCUGCAAAUUCGUAUGAGAAUAAAUUACUCUCUUAAUGGAAAAACCAUGUAGUUCUUUUCCAAAUGUCAUAACACCAAGAUCAGCACAGGCCGGUAGUAUACUAACAACGGUCACAAGGUUCGGCUGCAGACCCCAAAACUGCAUUUUCUUGAAUAACUCAAACGCUUCAACAUAGUCCCCAUUCUUCACACAAGCCGAAACCAUUGCGCUCCACAAGACGACAUCUUUAUUAGGUGUUUCUUCAAACAGUUUCCACGCAAUCCUCAUAUCCCAAGCCGAGUAAACACCAACAAGUGCCGUGACAACCAAUACUUCCACAAACCCCAUUUUUACUGCAAACCCAUGAAUAACACGAACCAUAUCUCUCAAACCCAUUUCGCCAAUCACUUUAAUCACGCUUAACAUUGUCACAAAAUUCGGUCUUUGAUUGUUCAUAAGCAUUGUUUUGAACAAACCAAUGGCCUCCUGAGGUCGAUUUUUCCUUAACAUACUUGAUAUUUUUGACGUCCAAGAUAUUGUAUAUUCGCUUAGGUCAAAAGAAUAAACUGGGACAGCGGAAUUUGAGUUUCUUCGAUGGGAAGAAAUGUGAUAUAGGCAGUUCAUUGAGGUUUGAAAAAAUGAGCGUCUUUUGGAGAUUUUAUCAAGCAGUUUGUACGCAUUUUGAAAACGAGGUACAUAGGACAUGCCCAAAGAGUCCGCCAGAUUUCUAUAUGAUGUCACGGCUGGCUCCAAGAUUGUUGCGGCGGAAGUAUAAUUUGCUGAUUAUGAUUUUGUAUGUAAUGUAAACAAACUGCGAAAAGC
rnacentral:lncRNA from 1 species